GAAGGAAGGAAGGAAGAGAGGAAGGAAAAGCGGAGGAAGGAUGGAGGGAGGAAAGGAUGGGGCAGUCCGGGGCCGGACGGAGGCUCCACGUGGAGCAGCGCAGGUCGGGCGUCGCGGCGGCGGAAGUGAAGACCGGCAAGAGAGAAAGGAGGACAGGCGGGCAGACAGACUGAACACCCGGGCACAGUAAGCAUAGCAGAAACUGGCUGCGGUUCCAGCUUCUUAGGACGUCGGGGGAUACCCCCCCAGACCCUGGAUGCUGAGCCCGAUUAUGGGCGAGCGCCAGACCCACGUCAACAGUCUCUUCCUGAAUGAAGAGUCAUCCAAGCGGCUUGGCAAUGGUGGCCGGGGGCAGCGCCUCCGCCAUGCCCUUGAGAAGUGGGCAGCCCAUGCCAGGAAGUGGAUGUACAGCAU